GGGGUUACAGCUCAGUGGUGGGGUGCAUGCUUAGCAUGUGUGAAGCCCUGGGUUCAAUCCCCAGUGUUCUCC
rnacentral:tRNA from 1 species